rnacentral:rRNA from 1 species
UACGUAGGGUGCGAGCGUUGUCCGGAAUUAUUGGGCGUAAAGAGCUCGUAGGCGGUGUGUCACGUCGGCCGUGAAAACCUACAGCUUAACUGUGGGCUUGCUUUCGAUACGGGCAGACUUGAGGCAUGCAGGGGAGAACGGAAUUCCUGGUGUAGCGGUGAAAUGCGCAGAUAUCAGGAGGAACACCGGUGGCGAAGGCGGUUCUCUGGGCAUGUUCUGACGCUGAGGAGCGAAAGUGUGGGGAGCGAACAGG